GACCUCAGCUUAGGCGGGGCUACCCGCUGAGUUUAAGCAUAUCAGUAAGUAGAGGAAAAGAAACUAAUGAGGAUUCCCCUAAUAACGGCGAGCAAACCGGCAAGAGCC
rnacentral:rRNA from 1 species